rnacentral:rRNA from 1 species
AAUCAACGCUGGCGGCGUGCCUAACACAUGCAAGUCGCACGAGAAAGGGUAGCAAUACCUGAGUACAGUGGCGCACGGGUGAGUAACACGUGAAUCAUCUACCUUCGAGUGGGGAAUAACUGGGAGAAAUCUCAGCUAAUACCGCAUAACACCUACGGGUCAAAGCAGCAAUGCGCUUGAAGAGGAGUUCGCGGCAGAUUAGUUAGUUGGCGGGGUAAUGGCCCACCAAGACGAUGAUCUGUAUCCGGCCUGAGAGGGCGCACGGACACA